GUUUGGCAUGCCACUUGCAAGUGUUUUUAAAAUGAAUUCACAUGGAAACUUUCUGAUUAUUCUCGGGAGCAGUGAUAAUUGGGCAUGAUGGGAAGAUCUUACUCUACUAUGACAACUUAUGUGGUCAUACCAUCUCCUCUGAAGCCUUUUGCAGAGUCAGAGACUGUGACUGUGUGGGAAAUUCAAUGCAGGAAAUGGGAAGAAAUGGACUGCUUCUGGAAAAUGCUGUUUUAAUACAAGGAAUUCUGAUUGGGUGUCUGGUUGAACUGUUCUGUGCAUGCAAUGCCAAUGCACUAAUCCACCCAUCAGGUUCUAGAAGUUUGGAUGUGAAAUGGGUGUCAAAAACUGAUUGAUCUACAAAAAUCCUAUAUACAAAUGAUCACUGAAGAAUUAUUGGCAAGAGCCAAAAAGCACAAACAACCCAAAUGCCCAGCAAGAAUGAAAUGGAUAAAAAGUAGGCAUAUCCAUAAAAAGAAAUAUUACUUAGCCACAAACGAAAUAAAAUGUUCAUACCUGCUAAUAACAUGGAUAAUCCUUGCAGGCAAUAUGCUAAUGAAAAGAGGCGAGUCAAAAGACCACAUAUUGGGGCUGGGGAUUUAGCUCAGAGGCAUAAGUGCCUGCCUUGCAAGCAGGCAGUCGUGAGUUCGAUCCCUGGUACGGAUAAA